UGCUGGGUUCGCUGAGAUUUUACUAUUUGCGUAUCCGAUUCAUCUGGUUUCUAAACAAAAAAGUUCAAGGGGUCCUGAACCUGGUUUAUCUUGCUGGAGCCUGGAAGUGAGCGAUUAUCAAGAGGUGGUGCAACUGGAGGCCGUUUGAAGCAAAUGCAGGCUAUUGAUAAAAGUCUGUCAUCCUUAAGCGAUGUGAUGUUUGUUCUGGCAAGAAGUAGGAGGAGAAGAAGUUUAUACUCAAGGAGAGUGCCUACAACUAGCCGCAUAUCAUGAAAACCUACAGGAUUGCAUUAAAUGGUACCUAAAGGUUGAGAAAGAACAUCUGCUUGAGGUGGAGAAAUGGUUCAGAAUUUAUUCAAUGCUGCUGAAGAGAAGUGUGUGGAUACUGCAACAGAUUGGGAGGUGGAGAUGACGAACAUGGUAGAUGAACUGGAUGCCAUAAUUUCAAAGCUUACAGACACUAGCUACGCUAGAAGAGUAACUUGCAUAGGAAGAAUCAGAAGAUGGUUUACAUCCGUGAUCGAUCAUCUGCAGAAUGAAGUGUCAAUCUCAGUGGGUUGCUGUACUGCGGCAGAUGUGUAGAAGUAAAGAUGACCAUGAUAUGGCAUUUCUCUGUUUUCGAACUUUACGGACGCAACUCUUUGAGUCUCAGGAUUGCCGGUAUUGCUGUACCAAGAACA